GGGCUCACACAAGCGGUGGAGGAUGUGGCUUAAUUCGAGGCUACGCGAAGAACCUUACCUAGACUUAACAUGCUUAGGAACUCCUGUGAAAGCAGGAGGUGCCCUUCGGGGAGCCUUUGCAUAGGUGCUGCAUGGCUGUCGUCAGCUCGUGUCGUGAGAUGUCGGGUUAAGUCCCUUAACGAGCGAAACCCUUAUCUCUAGUUGCCAGCGGGUAGUGCCGGGGACUCUAGAGAGACUGCCGGUGUUAAACCGGAGGAAGGUGGGGAUGACGUCAAGUCCUCAUGGCCUUUAUGUCUAGGGCUGCACACGUCCUACAAUGCGGCGGAUAAAGGGAUGCGAACUCGCGAGAGC
rnacentral:rRNA from 1 species